rnacentral:lncRNA from 1 species
AUUUCAAAUGAUUAAUUUAUUUAAUUAUAGUAACUGAAUAACUAAUUUAUUCAUUAUUCAUUAUUUGUUAUUCUGAAUGAAAUAUGCCCAACUCCAGUACCACAUAAUUGUAUAUACUUCUCUGUUUUUUGAUUAUACUGUUAUCAUUUCUAAUGGAAUUAAAUACCAUGUUGUUCCUAGAGUGUUUGGUGCUAUAUCCUAUUGUGGGGACAUAGAAUUUAGGCCUGAUGGAAGGUAUCACUCUCCACUUCUUCAAAACUUUCAAAAGGAAUUUGAACAGACUGACACCUUAGGAGGAUAAAAGAUAAAAACUAUUGUACCACCUAGUCUUGGAGAUCUUCGUCCUCCACAACAUAAAAUACCAAAUCAAAAAUAAUAAACAGGGAACUAAAGUAUCAAAGGAAGAAUUGCAUUAUGUUAAAAUGUUAUGGAAGAUGUGAGAGAAAAAAAAAAGAUAGAGAUUAAUAAAUGUAAAAGGAGAGAAAGGGGACAUUCCAUCCUUCAUUUCUCCAGAAUAAGAAAAAUAUCACAACUGUGAGACAAUUGGAGUGGCGUUCCAACUGCAUUGAAGACAAGCAGCCAGAUGCAAGUCAGUUAGCUUAAAGACCAGAAAAUAAAAUCAAAAAGAGAGAGUGCAAAUCCUGUUUCCUGUGGUGUUGUGUCAAGGGAAAAAAAGGAAGAAACCAAGAAAAUGAAGUGGUGAAAAAAGACUUUAGGAUAGAAUUAAAUUCAACCCUGCUACCUCAAGUUCAUCAUAACUUUUUUUUUUUUUUUUGAAGGUGAAUUGAACUGAAGUGUACAUGAUUUAAAUAAAAGUUGAACUUUUCAUAAAAAGAUAUUUAUCCUUCAAAAAUUAUCAUUGUCAGGCUCUUUGCAUUGUAAACUUUCUCUCUCUCUCUUUAAUAAAGAAAGUUUUGUUAUCAAACAUACUUCUAUUGCAAGGUCUUGUUAGGUAACAAGGCCUUGCAAUAGAAGUAUCCUUACUCACUCCAAAGAACACAGAUAGGCCAAAAGCCUGUUCAAAUCAUAAGUCUCACACUACAGUAUUUUAUAUUGCUUUUUUCAUCUUGACGAUAAGUUUAUUAUAAUUGACAUUUUAAAAUUUUUUAAACAUUCAGAUUCAUUUCUUCUUUUCUGUUAAUUGCUUAUGUUUCUUACACUAUCUUCAUAACUGUCUUCCUGUUGUAGUCAUGAUCUUGCAUCUGUAUUAAAAUCAAAUGUCUCUUUGGUUUUUUCCUCAACCUUAUAUUAGUCUUGAUCAUUUCAGCUAGGGUUCUAAUAUCUGCUUUUCUGUACUGGAAAGAUUCCUUAGACCAUAUCAGUAUUAAGAAUGGGGUAUAGGAUUUCUUCCUGGCUGUCCUUGGUACAUAUUCUCCAUUUCUUAUUUUAAUCACAAAAUCAAGAUAAUUAAUCUAUUUUUGGCUUUCUCUUUCAAUCUUCAGCUUUGCUCUAGAUUACUGUGAAGAUAACAUGGAGUCUAACAUAUUCUAUUUCUCUGUGAUUAUAAAGAUGUUAUCUAAGUGUAUCUUAUAUAUAUCUUAAAAUAUUUAUUUAUACAUUUUAACAGAACUGGCUAUGUAUCAAGCUAUAUAGGUUUGUGUUAU